CCACCAGCCGCGGGCCGCGCCCCCCUUUCGGCCCCCAACUCUGCGCCGCCGGCAGGAUGCCCCGCUAUGAGCGGGCUAUGAUCCUGAAAGCCAUGCAGAGGAGCCAACACAGUUAUGAGAGAGUGAGCAGAUUCUAUUCUGGUUUGUGCAUCAACAGAGCUGAUGAACGAGCUAGGGGAAAAAACACAACUUGAUUUUCUUAGGACUACGCUGAUAUUUGCAGACCUGAUGGGGUUGGUACAGUAGGCCUCACUAGACUUAGCUGCAGCUAAGAAUUUCUCCUACAUCAACAGAGUUAAUGCUGAUGCUCUUGUGGAAAGGCGAUUAAAAGUGCGUGCUAAGUUCUCAAAUUUCCAUUUAAGAAGCGGAGAAAAUAAAUCUGUCUUCUCAAAGUGUACUACAACCACCACCAUCAAGACAGCAAACCAAGGGACAAAGAAUUUGAUCUGCAGUAUUGAUAAAUGUAAACUGGUUCACAUAUUACUCUAAAGACUUCUUGGGGGGGUGAAAAUUGGACAUCGGCAGUCUCAAGUCAUUUUGUUUAUAAAAAUGAGGGCUUCUUUGGAAACAGCAGACAUUGCCAUUGUGACACUGUACUUUGUACUUGUACUGUGCAUAGGCUUUUUUGCCAUGUGGAAAUACAAUCGAAGCACCGUAAGUGGCUACUUCUUGGCAGGCCGUUCUAUGACAUGGGUAGCUAUUGGUGCAUCCUUAUUUGUGAGCAAUAUUGGGAGCGAACAUUUCAUUGGGCUCGCAGGAUCUGGAGCAGCAAGUGGAUUUGCAGUAGGUGCGUGGGAGUUCAACGCCUUAAUGCUUUUACAGCUUUUAGGAUGGGUCUUCAUCCCAGUCUACAUACGGUCAGCAGUAUAUACUAUGCCUGAAUACUUGUCCAAACGUUUUGGAGGACAUAGAAUUCAAAUAUAUUUUGCGGCGUUGUCUUUGAUUCUUUAUAUCUUCACCAAACUUUCUGUUGACUUGUAUUCAGGCGCACUCUUUAUUCAAGAAUCUCUAGGUUGGAACCUUUAUUUGUCAGUUAUCUUGCUUAUUGGAAUGACUGCUUUGUUGACUGUGACUGGAGGUCUUGUGGCUGUCAUCUACACGGACACUCUUCAAGCUCUGCUUAUGAUUAUUGGUGCCCUCACACUCAUGAUCAUAAGUAUGAUGGAGGUUGGUGGGUUUGAAGAAGUUAAAAGAAGGUAUAUGUUGGCAACACCAAAUAUUACGUCAAUCUUGCUGACCUACAAUCUUUCCAAUACCAACUCUUGUCAUGUCCAGCCAAAGCCUGAUGCUCUUAAAAUGCUGCGUGAGCCAACUGACGAAGAUGUUCCCUGGCCUGGAUUUCUGUUUGGGCAGACCCCAGCUUCUGUGUGGUACUGGUGUGCAGACCAAGUCAUAGUUCAGAGGGUUUUAGCUGCAAAAAAUAUUGCUCAUGCCAAAGGAUCUACGCUAAUGGCAGGUUUUUUAAAGCUGUUGCCUAUGUUUAUUAUCGUUAUCCCAGGGAUGAUUUCACGUAUACUGUUUGCAGAUGACAUUGCCUGUAUCAAUCCCGAACACUGCAUGCAAGUCUGCGGAAGCAGAGCUGGAUGCUCUAACAUUGCCUAUCCACGUCUGGUGAUGAAACUUGUACCAGUUGGUCUGCGGGGACUUAUGAUGGCUGUAAUGAUUGCUGCACUGAUGAGUGACUUGGACUCUAUAUUUAACAGUGCCAGCACUAUAUUUACACUUGAUGUCUACAAACUCAUACGCAAGAGUGCCCCAUCUAGAGAACUAAUGAUUGUAGGAAGAGUGUUUGUUGCUUUCAUGGUAAUUAUAAGCAUUGCUUGGGUUCCAAUAAUCGUGGAAAUGCAAGGAGGCCAGAUGUAUCUCUAUAUACAAGAGGUAGCAGAUUAUUUGACUCCACCAGUGGCUGCUGUGUUUCUGUUGGGUAUAUUUUGGAAGCGUUGCAACGAACAAGGGGCAUUCUAUGGUGCAAUGGUUGGGUUUGUUCUUGGAUCUACAAGGCUGAUAUUGGCAUUUAUUUAUCGUGUCCCUGAGUGUAACCAGCCUGAUACUAGGCCAGGCUUCAUAAAAAAUAUCCACUAUAUGUAUAUUGCUACUGCUCUGUUUUGGAUCACUGGAAUUGUGACUAUUACAGUAAGCCUCUUUACACCACCACCAACAAAGGAACAGAUUCGAACAACCACUUUCUGGUCUCUAAAAAUCAGGUCUGUAAAAGAAAAUGCUUCAAAAGGGGAUCCAUAUAAGGUACAAGAAAAAACCAUCUUGAAAUGUAAUGAAAAUGCCAAUCAUAUCCUGCCAAAUGGCAAAUCUGAAGAAAAUAUUAAAAAUAUUAAGCCUGAGGAUAUAAAUCUUCUAGUUACUUGCAGAGAAGACUGCAACCCAGUGAUUUCUGUAAGUCACUCUGAAGUUGAGACACCAGUUGAUUGUUAUUCCAAUGGACAGGUGGCUCUCAUGGGUGAGAAAAAGCGUGAGGAAGAGACUGAUGAUAGAGAUAAACAUUGGAAAUUCAUAGAUUGGUUCUGUGGCUUUAGAAGUAGAAACAUGAAUGAAAGAGCCAUCCAAGAUACAGAGGAAGAGACUCUCUGUUUACAAAUGUUGGAAGAGACUCCAAAAGUUAAACUAUUACUAAAUAUUGGACUGUUCUGUGUCUGUUCACUUGGAAUAUUCAUGUUUGUCUAUUUCUCUUUGUGAAUGGUGAAGCUUUAAGGGUAUGGCUAAACAUACAAAAGCUGAUACAAGUCUCUCUGGAGAAUUUUUUAAAAAAAUAUACCCAACUUGCAUCUCAGGCAUUGUUUACGCUAUAUUGUAAUCAACUUGUCAGCUAAUUUAAAGACCAUUUGAGAUGUGUAUUAUAUUAUCUCUGUUUUAAAUAAGGAAGAAUGUGGUUUUUAGUGCAGUGCUGUAAGGGGUGGGUGGGUGUGUGUGUGUAUAUAUACACCAAAGAAAAAGGAGGUGGCUGUUUUUAAGGAAGAACAUUAAGGUGCUCAGUCCAAUACUAAAAUGGAAAAAAAAAAAUGAAGUGUAGAAUUGGCAUUAUCAAGGCUGUCAAUCUAAAUUUAAAGAUACCCAUAUACAGUUUAUCCUCUGUAUCAUACUCAUACUAACUUGACCAACAUGUUGCUGCUUAAUUUUGCUUGCAGCUUUUCACUUUUUUAAAACUAUGUAUUAAAAAAAGUGUGGUGCUUAAAUUCCACACUUCAUUUAUACUCAACAAAAAGACAGCAUUUUGAAUGCACUUAACUCCUCAUGUAUUAUUUUGGAACAUGCUGUCACUCUGCAGCCGCCUUCUACUCUUCUCCAUAAGAUUAGAAACCAAACCUACUUAGUCACAGAUUUAACUACUUUUUUCUAUCCAAUUUAAACACUGGUAUGGUGGAAGAUUGAUAUUUUAUUUUUGAGGGAUAGGUGCAAGCAAGCCUGAGAUGUUACUCUGUUUAACUUUGCAAACUUUAGUUUAUGAUCCUACUGGGGGGGAGAAGGGAUGGAUACUCUUCCUGAAUUUUCUAGUAAAUGUGGACCAAAACAAAUUCACUCCCACCCUAUUCCAAAUUUCUCUUAACGUGUUUGCUAUGUACAUGAGUAGGGUUAGCUUCUCCUUAAGGAGCAAGCUCCAGAUGGAUGCUAUUGCUUGGAAAAGAGAUCUGCCCAAGAAUUAGCAAAGUGAAACUUGAAUAUGCCUCAACUGGAUUUAAAAAAAAAAAAUUAAAUACCCCUGAAGGAAACAUCUAGCAACCCUAUCGCCAAGCUAGAUGCAAGGCAGUCUGUUAAAUGUUAACAAACGUGUACUAGGGCUAUUUGUUUUAAAUUGCUAUUUUGGAAGGGGGAAGUGGAAGCAACAAAUAAGAGUCUGUAUUUAGCACAGAACUCUUUCUUUCUAACUUCAUCUGUUAGGAAAAGAAUAGUAUGAAGGAUUCCACAUGGGGAAGUAAGUGAAUGUAGUGGGCAGCUUAAUUAUCUUCAGCUGGGCUUUUUUUGAUACGUAAGUUGGAAAGCAAAACAACUUUUCUUUGCUAAAGCACAAAACCUCAAAUUACAGGAAUGCACAAAAGAUGAGACUUUUUGUUUUGAAGUUUUUUCCCCUAGGGGCUGUUACUGGCAACUGUAUUAAGGGUUUGCAGAAUUGGACACAACUUAAUACCCAAUUUAAUUACCCAGAGUAGCCUGUUGAUUUUAAUGGGACUGCUAGCAGACUAGUGUGCUACUUGGUGAGAUUAACCUACCAUUUUUACUGGGAUCUGGGUUGAAUCUAAUUAUUGACUGUUGGAGGAAAAGCAUCUUGCUGCAAAGAACUUCAGUGGGUCACUGAACAGCUCUUGGUAAACCAACAACAACUAGAUUAUCAGAUGGAACUGGUAAUUUACCAUACUCUUGAAAUAGCAAUUGAGACUGGUAGGUCUGUGGAUUUGAAUAGAUGCUGAGAUGUUUUACAGCAACUACUGUUCAUUAUCAGCUUUUAGAUCUUCUACUUGGAGGGUAGAACACUGUGGAUCACAAUAGAGAGAUGAGCCUAUGAGCCAUGUUUGAAUAGUGUAGAUAGGGUGUCCAGAUGUCCCGAUUUUUAUAGGGACAGUCCUGAUUUUUGGGUCCUUUCCUUAUAUAGGCUCCUAUUUACCCCCCCACCCCCGUCCUGAUUUUUCACACUUGCUGUCUGGUCACCCUAAGUGUGGAUGAUGGCCAUUACUGUAUGUGGCUGAGGCUUGGUUUUGUCAGUGUUGUGUCAAUGUGUGUAAAAGUUGUUGUUUCAAUAGGGUACUUCAUACAGAAAAACAUUCUUUUUUAAAUGAUAAAUUCUUAGUACUUGAACGAGUCUGUAAAAAUGGAAACUCAAGUUCAUAAGUUAUUGGAGGUGUAAUGGGGGGGAAAUAACACUGUAUACAAAAAUGAACAAAACUCUUUAUAUGCAGGACUUUCUGACGUUAAAGUCUAUGAGGGUAAACAGUAAAAAGCUUAGAUGGGUUUGCCCUAUAUCUAGAUGGAUACACUAGGAAGAGGAGAGGGAUAAAGAACUCAGGAAGCCUCUUCCCCUUUCUGUAGGGACAGAGUGGCUGUGGACCAAGAGCUUCUAUAUGUGUUUUCAGGGCCUGGCUAAAAUGCUCAGUUGGGCUCAGUGGCACACUUGGGGUGUGUAGUCUGCCAUCUUUGGGAUGUUAACAGGCACUAUCCCCUACUAACUCCGCAUACAUUUCCAUCAACAACUGGCAUUAUAGGGUUUGCUUACUGGCCCUUGAUCUAGUUUUCAUGAAUGUAUUACCACCUGCCUCUCACAGGUAGGCUGGCUCAGGGACCCUUUGCUUUACUGUCACUGCUUCAGUCCUUCUUACUCUUUCCCUAGAAUGCCUCACACAGUGGUAGUGCCAGAAGCAUAUAUCUUGCCUCCACCUAGAUAAACAGCAGCCUGCCUAGUACCGUCUCUUCUCUAGCUCUUUUGCCCCAGAUGAGUUCUUUUCUAUCAAGCCCACUUUACAUGUUUCCUGCGCAAUGCCCAGUGCCACGUACUCUCACACUUAUGAUCUGUGAUAAAAUUUUAACCCUGUAACAUGUAAUCUUCCCAAAGAAUUAUGACUGUAUUAGGUCUACACUUGUAAAGACAAGUAGUUUCAGCGUAUUGGCAUGUGUUUGAUCAUACUUUGGAUACUAAAAUACACAGUUUACUUAGCUCUAUCUUUAAAUUCAAAUUUUUUCAUACUAAAAGUUCAUAUUACACUAGUUCUAAAAGUUUUUCCAAUGGGGAUCAAUCUAGUCCUGUCACUAUGUAGCUUCACAGAAGUAAAACAACCUAUUGUUGGAUUAAUUAUGGUAAAGUGUUGUAGUCAUAGUUGGAAACUCAGUUGAUAAAAUGGCUGUAUUCUCUCCGUGUCUUCAUAACUGAGGCCUGGUCUACACUAUAAACUUAAGUUGAUGAAAGCCACCUUUCGUAGACUUAAUGCAUGUGUCUACACUACAGUAGAACCUCAGAGUUAUGAACUGACUGGUUAACCACAUAUCUCAUUUGGAACCAGAACUACACAUUCAGGCAGCAGCAGAGAUGCAGAGGGGAACCACUCAGUACAGUACUGAGUUUAAAUGUAAACCACACACCCAAAAAAAAAAUGUUUCUGUGCUUGUUUCAUUUGAAUUAAGAUGGUUAAAAGCAGCAUUUUUCUUCUGCAUAGUAGUUUCAAAGCUGUAUUAAGUCAAUGUUUGGUUGUAAAUUUUUGAAAGAACCAUCACAUUUUGUUUAGAGUUACAAACAACCUCCAUUCCCAAGGUGUUCGUAACUCUGAGGUUCUACUGUACCAGGUCCCUUCCACUGACCUAACUCGCCUGUAACGUCGACUUAAUUCACCUUUGUGAGAGGCAUAGCGCUUAUAUUGUGUUUGAUGGGUCAGAGAGGCAGCGUAAACGCAGUGUUGUGUAAGUUGACUGAAUUGACCUCCCAGAGGAGUCCCACAGUUCUCUGCUGUGACUGCUCUGGAGAUGGUUUUCAACUCCCUGCUCAGCAGCCCAGGUACACAGGAAACAGCCUCUCCCCUACUAAAGACCCAGGACCUUUUGAAUUCUCAUUUUUCCUGUUUGAUCAAUGUGGAGAGCUCGCCAGCACAGCUGACCAUGGAGAGUCAAAACCCCAAAUGUGCUCCAGCCUGAAGCACACAGGAGGUGGUGGAUCUUACUGGUCUGUGUAGAAAAGAGUCUGUACAGGCACAGCUCUAAUCCAGCUGAAGAAACGUAGACAUCUACAAAAAGAUUGCAUGGGACAUGAGGGAGAAGGGCUACACCAGGGACAUGUAGCAGUGCCAUGUGAAAAUCAAAGAACUUUGGCAGGCGUACCAGAAGACAAGGGAGAUGAACAGUCAUUCUGAUUCUGCCCCAGAGAUAUGCUGUUUCUACAAUGAGCUGUACGCGAUUCUCAGUGGCAACCCCACCACUACCCCCCUGCCAUAGCAUGGAUACAUCCCAGGAGUCUGAGUUCAGGGCCACCUCAGGCAAAAAUGAGGAGGACAUUCUGGAGGAGGAGGAGAAUUGGAGGCAGCCCCAGAUGGAUAUGGAAUGAACCAAAUGGACAUGCAGAUCAGGCAAAUCUAGUUGGGUCCAGGUCUCUCUUUGGUCAAGUGUUUGUUUAAGGGUCUAGCAAGAUCUUAUUAGACAGAAGACUUUAAAAGUUCUUGUAGUAGGAAUAUAGAUUUAGCAUUGUUAAUGAGAUUAAUAUAGCUUAAUUAUACUUGUAAAUUGUUAGUGUCCAUAUCUAGAAGUUCUUGUCAUAGCAAUGAUGUAUGAUAAGGUAACUUUGGUCUAGUGAAUAGAGUAUUAUAUUGUUAUAAAAACUUUGAAGUAAACCUGAUGCAAAACUCCUAGUUCUCGCUGCUGACCCUGUGUAUACCGUUUGCAUAUUAUCUUGCCUACUGCAUUUGUCUUCAAACUAAAACUCUUAUUAGAGAGUAUCUGGAUACUUCAAACUGUUUCUUGCAGUUUACAUUCCUUUACUGUGGCAUUUUGUCUUGUUACAAAGUAUUCUGUAAAAAGUUUCAAUAAAAAUGGGAGGAAAAAACCCAAA